GGGUAUAUAGCUCAGUGUUAGAAUGCAUGCUUAGAAUGCAUGAGAUCCUGGGUUCAACCCCAGUAUCGCCA
rnacentral:tRNA from 1 species